rnacentral:rRNA from 1 species
AUUGAACGCUGGCGGCAGGCCUAACACAUGCAAGUCGAACGAGUGGCGGACGGGUGAGUAAUGUCUGGGAAACUGCCUGAUGGAGGGGGAUAACUACUGGAAACGGUAGCUAAUACCGCAUACCAUCGGAUGUGCCCCGAUGGGAUUAGCUUGUAGGUGGGGUAAAGGCUCACCUAGGCGACGCUCCCUAGCUGGUCUGAGAGGAUGACCAGCCACACUGGAACUGGGACACGGUCCAGACUCCUACGGGAGGCAGCAGGGGGGAAUAUUGCACAAUGGGCGCAAGCCUGAUUCAGCCCUGCCGCGUGUAUGAAGAAGGCCUUCGGGUUGUAAAGUACUUGCAGCGGGGAGGCGUUACCCGCAGAAGAAGCACCGGCUAACUCCGUGCCAGCAGCCGCGGUAAUUC